AGGCUUAACACAUGCAAGUCGAGCGGGCAUAGCAAUAUGUCAGCGGCAGACGGGUGAGUAACGCGUGGGAACGUACCUUUUGGUUCGGAACAACACAGGGAAACUUGUGCUAAUACCGGAUAAGCCCUUACGGGGAAAGAUUUAUCGCCGAAAGAUCGGCCCGCGUCUGAUUAGCUAGUUGGUGAGGUAAUGGCUCACCAAGGCGACGAUCAGUAGCUGGUCUGAGAGGA
rnacentral:rRNA from 1 species